CGACGAGUUUGAUCCUGGCUCAGGACGAACGCUUGCGGCGUGCCUAAGAAAUGCAAGUCGAACGGGGCUUCGGCCCCAGUGGCGAACGGUCGCGUAACACGUAAGCAACCUGCCCUGAAGUGGGGACAACAUCCCGAAAGGGGUGCUAAUACCGCAUGUGGUCAUGAGUCGGCAUCGACUUGUGUCUAAAGAUUUAUCGCUUCAGGAUGGGCUUGCGGCCUAUCAGGUAGUUGGUGGGGUAAUGGCCUACCAAGCCGACGACGGGUAGCUGGUCUGAGAGGACGAUCAGCCGGAUUGGGACUGAGAUACGGCCCA
rnacentral:rRNA from 1 species